UCUGCAGUAACCCAGGUGGUGGUUCUGACCAGUUCUAUCUGGUUCUAACCAGUAUUCUCCUCCCUCUGCAGUAACCCAGGUGGUGAUACAGCAGCCGCUGCUAAGAGACGUACCCGGCCAGAUGAUGUGUCCCCACUGUCAGGUCCCGGUUCUGACAGAGACCACACACCCCUGGACUGCUCACCUGGCUCAUCUGUGGAGCCCUCUUCUGCUUCCUGUGCAUGAUAUUCUCUUGGAUUCCGCUCUGUGUUGACUCCUGUAAGGACGUAGAACACCGCUGCCCCAACUGCAAGGCAGUGAUCUACAUCCACAAACGCAUGUGAACAGACCAAGAUGAGACACCUGCCACAAAGUGAUCCUUACCUAUAUGAAUCUAUUCCAGUAGUGUAGAUCCUCUGAGGGAAACUGCAAACCCAGUUUAAUGCACCAGGAUUGGAAAGACAAUGGGCUCCUACUGUCUGUCGCUGAAAUCACUGCUGCAGUACCAGCUUUUCAUCUACUGGGAAUGUGUGACAGGGUAUUAUUAUAGUCGUCAUUUACUAUAUCGUAAAAAUUCAUGAAAUCAAAAUGUGCUUCUUGGUCUUAAUUUCAGGUUAAGGUUAGGUAUUAUGGUCAGCAGUGUGGUUAUAUUUGAUGACUUUGUGGCUGUGCCAGCUAGUGACCCCUCUACAGAGCUGCCUCCAGGGCAAGAUUCAUGACAAUAAAUGCCAACCUGCCCCUAAUUAGGGGGAACAGGUUAAAGAGUAGACAGACAGACACAUGUACGUGCCAAGACCACGUUUAAUAGGUUUUAUACUGAUUGUAAAUGAAGCUUUUCAAUUAACACAGAACGUAUUGUUCUUUGCAAUGAAUAACAGUCAAGUUUAUUGAUUGGUUGUUUACUUUAAAUUAUUUUAAUAAUCUCAA